GACGAACGCUGGCGGCGUGCUUAACACAUGCAAGUCGAACGGAAAGGCCCUGCUUUUGUGGGGUGCUCGAGUGGCGAACGGGUGAGUAACACGUGAGUAACCUGCACUUGACCUUGGGAUAACUUCAGGAAACUGGGGCUAAUACCGGCUAGGAGCUCCUGCUGCAUGGUGGGGGUUGGAAAGUUUCGGCGGUUGGGGAUGGACUGGCGGCUUAUCAGAUUGUUGGGGGGGUAGUGGCUUACCAAGGCUUUGACGGGUAGCCGGGCUGAGAGGGGAACCGGACACAUUAGGACGGAACUGAGACCCGGACUAGAACCGGACGCAGGGGAGGAGUAGAGAAUACAGUGGGAUGGAGGCAGGUGUAGCACCGCAGCGUGCGGUGUGAGAGGCUGGCGGUUGUGUUGUAAAGUCGUCUGUGACGAGACGAUAAUGACGGUACCGGGUAAAGAAGCACCGGCUAACUACGUG
rnacentral:rRNA from 1 species